rnacentral:rRNA from 1 species
GGAGAGAGCUUGCUCUUUCUGUUGACGACCGGCGCACGGGUGAGUAACACGUAUCCAACCUACCGUAUACACUAGGAUAGCUCUUCGAAAGAAGGAUUAAUACUAGAUGUUAAGAUAUUCUCGCCUGGGAAUAUCUUCAAAGAUUUAUCGGUAUACGAUGGGGAUGCGUUCCAUUAGACAGUUGGUGAGGUAACGGCUCACCAAAUCGACGAUGGAUAGGGGUUCUGAGAGGAAGAUCCCCCACAUUGGAACUGAGACACGGUCCAAACUCCUACGGGAGGCAGCAGUGAGGAAUAUUGGUCAAUGGACGCGAGUCUGAACCAGCCAAGUAGCGUGAAGGAAGACUGCCCUAUGGGUUGUAAACUUCUUUUGUUAGGGAAUAAAGUGCGCCACGUGUGGUGUUUUGUAUGUACCUAACGAAUAAGGAUCGGCUAACUCCGUGCCAGCAGCCGCGGUAAUACGGAGGAUCCGAGCGUUAUCCGGAUUUAUUGGGUUUAAAGGGUGCGUAGGCGGACUAGUAAGUCAGCUGUGAAAGUUAGUGGCUCAACCACUAAAUUGCAGUUGAAACUGUUGGUCUUGAGUAUACAUGAGGUGAGCGGAAUUUGUGGUGUAGCGGUGAAAUGCAUAGAUAUCACAAGGAACUCCAAUUGCGAAGGCAGCUCACUGGGGUAUAACUGACGCUGAGGCACGAAGGUGCGGGUAUCAAACAGGAUUAGAUACCCUGGUAGUCCGCACAGUAAACGAUGAAUACUCGCUGUUUGCGAU